AUGUCGGUUAAACCCCCUCCUUUACUA
rnacentral:tRNA from 1 species